UCGUGUCACAAUAGUAAUUCAACCUAGCAUGAGAGGAAUCGUUGAUUCGCACAAUUGGUCAUCGCGCUUGGUUGAAAAGCUAGUGAUACGAAGCUACCGUACGCUGGAUUAUGGCUGAACGCCUCUAAGUCAUAGGUGGCCCGAUUGCUGACCCAUAGUAAGGGCACAUGUUGUGACACCCCUAAAGUGACCAUAGUCGGAAAGUGGUUUUGGGACCACAAAACCGAGUCAUAAAAAUAAUUAACCAUUAUAUUUGAUGCUUAUUAUAUGUAUAUAGGCAUGUGUGAAAAUUUCAUGUUUGAAUUUUGUUAAUUGUAAGUGAAUUUUGCUAAAUAGGA
rfam:Gossypium arboreum cultivar AKA8401 contig_47366_3, whole genome shotgun sequence.